GGAAGCUUUUGAGAGGGUGCACAAGAGAUUUACCAGGAUGCUGCUUGGAUCAGAGAACAUGCCUUAUGAAGAAAGGCUGAGAGAGCUUCGGUCACAAAGCUGCAAUCCUAUUGUCCAUAUCUGGGAAGUGGAGAAGAUACCAGGGGCCUCAGAGCAUCUGCAGGAUCUCUUGUUCACAAAGUUUGGAGAAAACAUUGCUGAUGACUUUUAACAGUGUACCUACAGAUCGUCCCUGCUAAACAAGUGAACACCUCACCCCACUACUUCUGAUUUCAGAAGUAUAGAUAUUUAAGGAUACAUCAAUCCUCAAGCCCAAGAACUUCAUUCCCACUGGUUAGCAAGAUCACUGUUCUGUGAGAAUAUACUACAUCCAGAAAAAGUCAACCUGUAUGGAGGUUUGCAUAUUGGAAACUGUGUAUUCUGUUCUCUACUGUCAUCGGAACUUCUAUCUUUAAUUCCACAGAGGAAAACACCAGAGAUACAGCCCCUACAAGCCUACAUCACCUAAACACAGCCAUGUGGCCGACUUACCUGCACAUCUUCGGACUGAGGGAGGGAACCAGAGCACCUGAAGGAAACCGUGUGGUCAUAGGGAGAACGUAGAAACUCCUUACAGACAGCGAUGGAAUUGUACCUGGGUUACCAGUGCUAUGACGGCAUUACGCUAACCACUACUCUACUGUGGCACCUCUUUAUUAUAUUUGUUACUGAUUUCAUUUUCCAUUUGGAUUGAUAUAAUUCUUUUGCUUAUUUUACACUUAGCUUCUUGCUUUAUAAUAUCGUCAAAGAUCUUGCUGAUGUAUGGCAAAUAAAAGAAUGGCAAUAAAUCCAGUGCUGUAGGCAAACAAAGCUUACCGAAGACUGUCAGUACUGAAUAUAUUGUCAUCAGCAUAUUCUCCAUGUAGGUGCAUCGAAGCAGACUUAAUGAACAACAUAGUAACUCAAUAUUAGCUUCCAGUCAACUGUAGCAAGCCAAAUUUGAAUACAGGAAAGGAGAUAAUCAAAGUUAGAUUCAUCCACAAUGCGUAUUUGAAUUCUGUACUCUUCUGGAUAUCCACUCUAGUUUCAUAAGCACGUUAUUUGAUUUUCAAUAAUAUAACUUAAUCCUUAAAACAUAGCAACUAUAGUGGAUUUGGUAUUAACUGUGGAAAAAUACUAGUGCACGAUUAGUUAACUGUUAGAAAUUGUUCUUUGCAUCUUGUAAGAGAAAAUAACUACAUGGAAAUAUAUUUUAGAUCUGCAAAUAAUAUUUAUAAACCUCUCUGAAGUCUCUUUCUUUUUAUUUAACUAGUUUUGAAUUUCUCUCAUUGUACAAACCUAAAUCAUUCAUUGUUUUUGCACUGGAAGCAAGAUUGCGGGCCCAUAUAGUUUUACCGGAUAUCAUUAGCUAUAUAACAACGACAGGCCCAAACACUUAACAACAGGCUCGUCAAGAAGUGCUUAAGUACUAUACGAUUACAGAAUUACAAGCCUAAGCAGAUGCCCAAGGGUCAUGAGUUUAAUGACAAACAGUCUGCAGUGGUCAGCAGUGGAAAGAGUGAGCAGUUUCAAGUUGUUGGUGUUAACAUUUCUGAGAAUUUAUCUGGGCCCAACAUAUUGAUGCACUUACAAAGAAGGCACGACAGCAUCUAUAUUUCAUUAGGAGUUUGAGGAGACCUGGUACGUUGCCAAAGACUCUUGCAAAUUUCUAUAGAUAUACCGUGGGGACUAUUCUACCUGGAUGUGUCACCAUCUGGUAUGAAGGGGCCACUGCACAGGAUUGGGGAGAGCUGCGGAAAGUUGCCAACCCAGCCAGCUCCGUCAUGGGCACCAGCCUCCCCAGCAUCGAGGACCCCUUCAGAAGGAGAUGCCUCAAAAAUAUGGCAUCCCAUGAAGGGACCCCAUCACCCAGAACAUGCCCUGUUCUCAUUCCUAUCAUCAAGAAAAUGGUACAGGAGCCUGAAGACACAUACUCAAUGUUUUAGGAACAGCUUCUUCCUCUCUAUUAUCAGAUUUCUGAAUGGACAAUAAACCGAUGUACACUGCUUCAC